AGAGGUUACUGCUAUCGGUGUUCGACUAAGCCAUGCGAGUCAAAUGUUCUUCGUGAACAUGGCGGACUGCUCAGUAACACGUGGAUAACCUGCCCUUAGGUUCGGCAUAACUCCGGGAAACUGGAGAUAAUUCCGAAUAGGUCAAAUCUGCUGGAAUGCUUUUUGGCCAAAAGACUUCGGUUGCCUAAGGAUGGAUCUGCGGUCUAUCAGGUAGUAGUGGGUGUAACGUACCUACUAGCCUACGACGGAUAUGGGUUGUGAGAGCAAGAGCCCAGAGAUGGAUUCUGAGACAUGAAUCCAGGCCCUACGGGGCGCAGCAGGCGCGAAAACUUUACAAUGCGGGAAACCGCGAUAAGGGGACACCGAGUGCCAGCAUUUAUGUUGGCUGUCCACAUGUGUAAACGGUAUGUGUUAGCAAGGGCCGGGCAAGACCGGUGCCAGCCGCCGCGGUAACACCGGCGGCCCGAGUGGUAAUCACUUUUAUUGGGUCUAAAGGGUCCGUAGCCGGUUUGAUCAGUUCUUCGGGAAAUCUGACAGCUCAACUGUUAGGCUUCCGGGGAUACUGUCAGACUUGGGACCGGGAGAGGUAAGAGGUACUACAGGGGUAGGAGUGAAAUCUUGUAAUCCCUGUGGGACCACCAGUGGCGAAGGCGUCUUACCAGAACGGGUCCGACGGUGAGGGACGAAAGCUGGGGGCACGAACCGGAUUAGAUACCCGGGUAGUCCCAGCCGUAAACGAUGUUCGCUAGGUGUCAGGGGCGGUGCGACCGCUUCUGGUGCCGUANGGNAAGCCGUGAAGCGAACCACCUGGGGAAGUACGGCCGCAAGGCUGAAACUUAA
rnacentral:rRNA from 1 species